CCGCGGUAAUACGUAGGUGGCGAGCGUUGUCCGGAAUUACUGGGCGUAAAGGAUGCGUAGGUGGAUACUUAAGUGGGAUGUGAAAUUCCCGGGCUCAACCCGGGAACUGCAUUCCAAACUGGGUAUCUAGAGUGCAGGAGAGGAAAGCGGAAUUCCUAGUGUAGCGGUGAAAUGCGUAGAUAUUAGGAGGAACACCAGUGGCGAAGGCGGCUUUCUGGACUGUAACUGACACUGAGGCAUGAAAGCGUGGGUAGCAAACAGGAUUAGAUACCCUGGUAGUCCACGCCGUAAACGAUGGGUACUAGGUGUAGGAGGUAUCGACCCCUUCUGUGCCGUCGUUAACACAAUAAGUACCCGCCUGGGGAGUACGGUCGC
rnacentral:rRNA from 1 species